UAAGGAAUAUUGGACAAUGGACGGAAGUCUGAUCCAGCCAUGCCGCGUGCAGGAAGAAGGCGCUCAGCGUUGUAAACUGCUUUUGAGUGGGAACAAAUCAUGGGGUGCGCCCUGUGUUGAGGGUACCACUAGAAUAAGCACCGGCUAACUCCGUGCCAGCAGCCGCGGUAAUACGGAGGGUGCAAGCGUUAUCCGGAAUCACUGGGUUUAAAGGGUGUGUAGGCGGUUUGUUAAGUCAGUUGUGAAAUUCCCCGGCUUAACCGGAGGGAGUGCGAUUGAUACUGAUAGACUUGAAUCAGGUUGAGGUAGGCGGAAUGUGGCAUGUAGCGGUGAAAUGCAUAGAUAUGCCAUAGAACACCGAUUGCGAAGGCAGCUUGCUGGACCUUGAUUGACGCUGAGGCACGAAAGCGUGGGGAGCAAACAGG
rnacentral:rRNA from 1 species